GAUGAACGCUAGCUACAGGCUUAACACAUGCAAGUCGAGGGGCAUCAGGAAGAAAGCUUGCUUUCUUUGCUGGCGACCGGCGCACGGGUGAGUAACACGUAUCCAACCUGCCCUUUACUCGGGGAUAGCCUUUCGAAAGAAAGAUUAAUACCCGAUAGCAUAAUGAUUCCGCAUGGUUUCAUUAUUAAAGGAUUCCGGUAAAGGAUGGGGAUGCGUUCCAUUAGGUUGUUGGUGAGGUAACGGCCCACCAAGCCUUCGACGGAUAGGGGUUCUGAGAGGAAGGUCCCCCACAUUGGAACUGAGACACGGUCCAAACUCCUACGGGAGGCAGCAGUGAGGAAUAUUGGUCAAUGGGCGCUAGCCUGAACCAGCCAAGUAGCGUGAAGGAUGAAGGCUCUAUGGGUCGUAAACUUCUUUUAUAUAAGAAUAAAGUGCAGUAUGUAUACUGUUUUGUAUGUAUUAUAUGAAUAAGGAUCGGCUAACUCCGUGCCAGCAGCCGCGGUAAUACGGAGGAUCCGAGCGUUAUCCGGAUUUAUUGGGUUUAAAGGGAGCGUAGGUGGACUGGUAAGUCAGUUGUGAAAGUUUGCGGCUCAACCGUAAAAUUGCAGUUGAUACUGUCAGUCUUGAGUACAGUAGAGGUGGGCGGAAUUCGUGGUGUAGCGGUGAAAUGCUUAGAUAUCACGAAGAACUCCGAUUGCGAAGGCAGCUCACUGGACUGCAACUGACACUGAUGCUCGAAAGUGUGGGUAUCAAACAGGAUUAGAUACCCUGGUAGUCCACACAGUAAACGAUGAAUACUCGCUGUUUGCGAUAUACAGUAAGCGGCCAAGCGAAAGCAUUAAGUAUUCCACCUGGGGAGUACGCCGGCAACGGUGAAACUCAAAGGAAUUGACGGGGGCCCGCACAAGCGGAGGAACAUGUGGUUUAAUUCGAUGAUACGCGAGGAACCUUACCCGGGCUUAAAUUGCAGUGGAAUGAUGUGGAAACAUGUCAGUGAGCAAUCACCGCUGUGAAGGUGCUGCAUGGUUGUCGUCAGCUCGUGCCGUGAGGUGUCGGCUUAAGUGCCAUAACGAGCGCAACCCUUAUCUUCAGUUACUAACAGGUCAUGCUGAGGACUCUGGAGAGACUGCCGUCGUAAGAUGUGAGGAAGGUGGGGAUGACGUCAAAUCAGCACGGCCCUUACGUCCGGGGCUACACACGUGUUACAAUGGGGGGUACAGAAGGCAGCUAGCGGGUGACCGUAUGCUAAUCCCAAAAUCCUCUCUCAGUUCGGAUCGAAGUCUGCAACCCGACUUCGUGAAGCUGGAUUCGCUAGUAAUCGCGCAUCAGCCACGGCGCGGUGAAUACGUUCCCGGGCCU
rnacentral:rRNA from 1 species